UGGCGGACGGGUGAGUAACGCGUGGAAAACCUGCCGUAUACUGGGGGAUAACACUUAGAAAUAGGUGCUAAUACCGCAUAAGCGCACAGCUUCGCAUGAAGCGGUGUGAAAAACUCUGGUGGUAUACGAUGGUUCCGCGUCUGAUUAGCUAGUUGGUGGGGUAAUGGCCUACCAAGGCAACGAUCAGUAGCCGGCCUGAGAGGGUGAACGACCACAUUGGGACUGAGACACGGCCCAAACUCCUACGGGAGGCAGCAG
rnacentral:rRNA from 1 species